CCAGAGAACUUUCCAGAGAUGGAUUGGUGCCUUCGGGAACUCUGAGACAGGUGCUGCAUGGCUGUCGUCAGCUCGUGUUGUGAAAUGUUGGGUUAAGUCCCGCAACGAGCGCAACCCUUAUCCUUUGUUGCCAGCGGUCCGGCCGGGAACUCAAAGGAGACUGCCAGUGAUAAACUGGAGGAAGGUGGGGAUGACGUCAAGUCAUCAUGGCCCUUACGAGUAGGGCUACACACGUGCUACAAUGGCGCAUACAAAGAGAAGCGACCUCGCGAGAGCAAGCGGACCUCAUAAAGUGCGUCGUAGUCCGGAUUGGAGUCUGCAACUCGGCUCCAUGAAGUCGGAAUCGCUAGUAAUCGUGGAUCAGAAUGCCACGGUGAAUACGUUCCCGGGCCUUGUACACACCGCCCGUCACACCAUGGGAGUGGGUUGCAAAAGAAGUAGGUAGCUUAACCUUCGGGAGGGCGCUUACCACUUUGUGAUUCAUGACUGGGGUGAAGUCGUAACAAGGUAAGCGUAGUGCU
rnacentral:rRNA from 1 species